GAGGUCUGCUUGCCUCCUAGAAAGCUCUGCUGAUAUACAGAGGCAGGACAAAAGAGAAAAAAAAAGCACUGCUACAGAUACAGCAAACUACUACGGAAGCAUUUCUAAUACCAUAUUAUAAUUCAAUAUAGCUAUGCAUGUGGCGCGAUUUGGACGAUUUAAAAAAAAAAAAGAAAAAAA